GGUGUGAAUAUACAGUUAUACAUCCAUGGUUUGUUUGAAAAAUUCUAGAAUGCAACGGGUUUAUUAGUGACGUGGCAUAACAAACCAAUCAAAUUAAUCCUUUUAAGAAUAUAUGUCCCAUCAUGAUUGUAAAAAAGUAUUUUUAUUGUACUUUUGUUUGAAAAGAAGGAAUGUGAUUGGCUUGUUAUUGAUGACGUGGUGCAAGUGUGACAGUGUAGAAUUCCUCGGUUUGUUUGGGCGAUAGUUAGUUAAUUUGGAUUCAGAAAAAAUUCGGUACGGAUAUAAUACGAAUAAAAUUUAUUUUUUAAUUUUUAAAUUUGUUAAAAACUUCAGUUUAAAAAAUAAAUUCGGUAUAAAAUAUAAAAUAUAAAAUAUAAAAUAAUUUAUAUUUAAACACAAAAAUUAUAAGUUUUUUAUUCAGAUUUUGUCACGCCCCGGAUGUCUCGUUUUCCGGGGCAUGCCGACAAAUCCGCCGUAUACAAAGAAAUUUUUUCUGUAUACGAAGCGACAGCUGUACCUGUAAAUAUACAAUACUACAAACAGUAGUAUAGAGCUCCUUGAGUAAACAAAAGCUAAACAAACUGAGCUUCAUAUACAUAGUUCAAAAAUCAAAAUAC
rnacentral:lncRNA from 1 species